rnacentral:rRNA from 1 species
UGUAGUCAUAUGCUUGUCUCAAAGAUUAAGCCAUGCAUGUCUAAGUAUAAGCAAUUUAUACAGUGAAACUGCGAAUGGCUCAUUAAAUCAGUUAUCGUUUAUUUGAUAGUACCUUACUACUUGGAUAACCGUGGUAAUUCUAGAGCUAAUACAUGCUUAAAAUCCCGACUGUUUGGAAGGGAUGUAUUUAUUAGAUAAAAAAUCAAUGUCUUCGGACUCUUUGAUGAUUCAUAAUAACUUUUCGAAUCGCAUGGCCUUGUGCUGGCGAUGGUUCAUUCAAAUUUCUGCCCUAUCAACUUUCGAUGGUAGGAUAGUGGCCUACCAUGGUUUCAACGGGUAACGGGGAAUAAGGGUUCGAUUCCGGAGAGGGAGCCUGAGAAACGGCUACCACAUCCAAGGAAGGCAGCAGGCGCGCAAAUUACCCAAUCCCGACACGGGGAGGUAGUGACAAUAAAUAACGAUACAGGGCCCUUUCGGGUCUUGUAAUUGGAAUGAGUACAAUGUAAAUACCUUAACGAGGAACAAUUGGAGGGCAAGUCUGGUGCCAGCAGCCGCGGUAAUUCCAGCUCCAAAAGCGUAUAUUAAAGUUGUUGCAGUUAAAAAGCUCGUAGUUGAACCUUGGGCUUGGUUGGCCGGUCCAUCUUUCUGAUGCGUACUGGACCCAACCGAGCCUUUCCUUCUGGCUAGCCUUUUGGCGAACCAGGACUUUUACUUUGAAAAAAUUAGAGUGUUCAAAGCAGGCCUUUGCUCGAAUAUAUUAGCAUGGAAUAAUAGAAUAGGACGUUAUGGUUCUAUUUUGUUGGUUUCUAGGACCAUCGUAAUGAUUAAUAGGGACGGUCGGGGGUAUCAGUAUUCAGUUGUCAGAGGUGAAAUUCUUGGAUUUACUGAAGACUAACUACUGCGAAAGCAUUUACCAAGGACGUUUUCAUUAAUCAAGAACGAAAGUUAGGGGAUCGAAGAUGAUCAGAUACCGUCGUAGUCUUAACCAUAAACUAUGCCGACUAGGGAUCA